rnacentral:lncRNA from 1 species
AAAACGUGCUCACAAAAUAUAAAAGAUCAAACUACCUAAGGGAGAAAACUUGAAAGUAAAAACUACGAAUGUGACUAUGGAGUCUUUAGGCGUCCCCUUCGUCGUCCUCCUGCGGAACCGGCUCGGGAACGAUGUCCUCUUGAUCUGAAAUGAUUAAAUAAGGAAUGAGCUACACUAGCCCAGUAAAGACAUCACGAUAUCUCACCGUCACGGAGGUAAAGGUUGGUAGAAAACACAAAAAAAAGACCAAUGGAGCAUAAUUUAUGACAAAUCCUUUCAUCGAUAAUAAAAUCUUUACCAUUCACUUACCUCGGUGAAAUUCAUAAAACAAUAUACGAAAGCAAUAACAUCAUCAUCAUCAUGAAAACAUAUAUAUGAACUGUAUAACAUAAUACCUAUCACACUUUUCGUAAUUCAAUCGUUACACAACAUAUUUUCCUAAUUCACCAGCCCACUAGUAUCCAUGAGGAUCUAUAGGGGUCUCGCUACCCGUUAAUCCUUAACACUUGAAAU